GAGUUUGAUCAUGGCUCAGAUUGAACGCUGGCGGCAGGCCUAACACAUGCAAGUCGAGCGGUAGCACAAGAGAGCUUGCUCUCUGGGUGACGAGCGGCGGACGGGUGAGUAAUGUCUGGGAAACUGCCUGAUGGCGGGGGAUAACUAGUGGAAACGGUAGCUAAUACCGCAUAACGUCGCAAGACCAAAGUGGGGGACCUUCGGGCCUCACGCCAUCAGAUGUGCCCAGGUGGGAUUAGCUGGUAGGUGGGGUAACGGCUCACCUAGGCGACGAUCCCUAGCUGGUCUGAGAGGAUGACCAGCCACACUGGAACUGAGACACGGUCCAGACUCCUACGGGAGGCAGCAGUGGGGAAUAUUGCACAAUGGGCGCAAGCCUGAUG
rnacentral:rRNA from 1 species